CGCUGGCAGCCGAUAAGAUGCAAGGAGACUAACCGGUUCCGCUUGAAGUGUGUGUGGGGGGGGGGCUCAGUAGAGCCGAGCCGACUUUGGCUCAAUGCAAUUUAUUCUAAACAAUUACCUCAGCACUUAACGUGAUGUUUGUUGUUUUGGGUCAUGCUCAAGAUUUGUCUUGACCUUUUAGGAAGCUGCUGAUGUCACGUCUUAAGGCAUGCCUAAGUCAUACGCCGCACAUGUUCUUUGCACUCUAAUUAGAUGAUGAGUAAGGUAUGUACCGAUGCAAUUAACAUACCUGAUUAUUAUUCUUUUUUUUAACUUGGUUUUGCAAUGAAGGUCACAUUGUAAAGUCACAGCGUGUCUUCUGUUUUGGUUUUAAUCUUGCACAAGUGGUAUCGACACCUUCUCCUCCCUCAUCUUAACCGGUGAGGGUGACACAAACAGGCUGAGCAAGAGGAUUUAUAGCUUUAGCGAAACUGUCCGGCCGCCAGAAGACGACUCAGUUGAUGACUCCUGAAGUAGGAAAACCCUGGGAAAAGAACCAACUGAGAAAAGUACAUGACUAACCCAUGAGAAGUUCGACCUGUUACCAAAACUGAUGAGGUCACAGUCUGACGAGUAGAUAGAGGCCGUCCAACUUGUGUGAAUGGAUUAUCAUCAAUCGCCUUUUUCGUGGGAUCCUCACCUUGAGACUUUUCCUCGAGUGACACAAUCAAUAAAAGAGAUCCCAGCAUGGAGCGGUCACGCAUUAGAAUGGCUCGGACCCUCACUGAGGGGGGAUCUCAGGUUAAUUAUCACAUGCUUGGGGAGGGGGGCAGGUAAAGUGGCUUUUGUGGCCUAUGGACAUUAUGCCAACUCCCCCGUGGAGAGUGGAAAUCACAGCCUGCAGAAAAAAAAAAAAAGUAUGAUGUCGAUGUAAAGCGACUUGUCCUGGCUGCGAAUUGUUGGGUCUAAAAAUAUACAUAACACAGAGGCUGUAAUUUGCGCUUCAUUUAUUUGUGUCACGUCGCUCUGACAUGUAAAUAAAAAGACAUGAGGGUUAGAGGAGAGUGAGACACGCUAGCACAUAAGUGAUACAAAAAAAAAAAAGAUGACAUUGAAAAUCCAUUUUGGCGUUGACAGUUGUUUGAACAAACAGAAUUUAUUCACAUCACUUCCACAGGAAGCAUAAUACAUUGUGUUUGGUUAUGAUUAGACUGGAGUGCAAAAUAUGGCUCGUCACCC